rnacentral:rRNA from 1 species
UACGAAGGGGGCGAGCGUUGUUCGGCUUUACUGGGCGUAAAGGGCGCGCAGGCGGUCUUGAAAGUCAGGCGUGAAAGCCCCGGGCUUAACCUGGGAAUUGCGCUUGAUACUCUGAGACUGGAGUACGGGAGAGGAGAGUGGAAUUCCCAGUGUAGAGGUGAAAUUCGUAGAUAUUGGGAAGAACACCGGUGGCGAAGGCGGCUCACUGGCGCAUUUCUGACGCUCAGGCGCGACAGCGUGGGGAUCAAACAGG